GGGCUCAUAGCUCAGUUGGUAGAGCGCCUGGUUUGCAUCCAGGAGGUCAGGAGUUCGAGUCUCCUUGGGUCCA
rnacentral:tRNA from 1 species